UACGAAGGGUGCAAACGUUGCUCGGAUUUACUGGGCGUAAAGGGCGCGCAGGCGGCUCAUUUUGUCAGGCGUGAAAGCCCCGGGCUUAACCUGGGAACUGCGUUUGAUACGGAUGGGCUAGAGUUCGGGAGAGGAGAGUGGAAUUCCCAGUGUAGAGGUGAAAUUCGUAGAUAUUGGGAAGAACACCGGUGGCGAAGGCGGCUCUCUGGACCGAGACUGACGCUGAGGCGCGAAAGCGUGGGGAGCAAACAGG
rnacentral:rRNA from 1 species